rnacentral:rRNA from 1 species
GACGAACGCUGGCGGCGUGCUUAACACAUGCAAGUCGAACGAAGUGGCGAACGGGUGAGUAACGCGUAAUCAACCUGCCCUUCAGAGGGGGACAACAGUUGGAAACGACUGCUAAUACCGCAUACUGAAGGAGGGGAUUGCGUCUGAUUAGCUAGUUGGGGGGGUAACGGCCCACCAAGGCGAAGAUGAGUAGCCGGUCUGGAAGGAGGGACGGCCACAAUGGGACUGGAGAACGGCCCAGACUCCUACGGGAAGCAGCAGGGGGGAAUCUUCCGCAAUGGACGAAAAGCUGACGGAGCAACGCCGCGUGAGUGAUGACGGCCUUCGGGUUGUAAAGCUCUGUUAAUCGGGACGCGGUACCGGAAUAGAAAGCCACGGCUAACUACGUGCCAGCAGCCGCGGUAAUUC